GUUAAAGACUAACACACGCUUUGACUGACAUACAUAGACACACCGAUUCACUGACCAGCAGACACUCUCAGAUAUACACUGGCAGAAACACAUACUCACACAUUCACUGAUUUGACGCAAUCUGACAGACACACUCAAUUCCUGAUUUGGCACAAUCUGACAGACACACACAAUCACUCAGCCAUGCACUGACAUGCACGCACACACUCAAUGACAGACACACACACUCACAGGCACACACUGAUAGACAUACACACAUUCACUGACAACAAACUCACUGACAGACACAUCUACAGAUAUAAACACACAUUCACUGACACACAUACACACACACUCAUUGACAGACAAACAAACUCACUGACAGAUACACUCACUCAGACACACUGACAGAUAUAACCACACAUUCACUGACAGACAAACACACACACACACACACAUUCCUCCCCCAACAUUUACAAAUAAUUAUUUACAUUUAUUUUCAGUUAAAUCCAUCCAGCCUCACUACCUUUGUGAGAGCUGGGUGGAUUUUUAUCUGGGGUCCAGUGGGGCUGCUGGGCGGGCAGGUUGGAGAUCAG